rnacentral:rRNA from 1 species
AUUGAACGCUGGCGGCAUGCCUUACACAUGCAAGUCGAACGGCAGCACGGGGGCAACCCUGGUGGCGAGUGGCGAACGGGUGAGUAAUGCAUCGGAACGUGCCCAGUAGUGGGGGAUAACCAGUCGAAAGACUGGCUAAUACCGCAUACGACCUACGGGUGAAAGCGGGGGACCGUAAGGCCUCGCGCUAUUGGAGCGGCCGAUGUCUGAUUAGCUAGUUGGCGGGGUAAGAGCCCACCAAGGCGACGAUCAGUAGCUGGUCUGAGAGGACGACCAGCCACACUGGGACUGAGACACGGCCCAGACUCCUACGGGAGGCAGCAGUGGGGAAUUUUGGACAAUGGGCGCAAGCCUGAUCCAGCCAUGCCGCGUGCGGGAAGAAGGCCUUCGGGUUGUAAACCGCUUUUGGCAGGAACGAAACGGCGCAAGCCAAUACCUUGCGCUAAUGACGGUACCUGCAGAAUAAGCACCGGCUAACUACGUGCCAGCCGCCGCGGUAACAC